UCGGGAAUUUUGGGCAAUGGGCGAAAGCCUGACCCAGCAACGCCGCGUGAGGGAUGAAGUAUUUCGGUAUGUAAACCUCGAAAGAAUGGGAAGAAUAAAUGACGGUACCAUUUAUAAGCUCCGGCUAACUACGUGCCAGCAGCCGCGGUAAUACGUAGGGAGCAAGCGUUGUUCGGAUUUACUGGGCGUAAAGGGCGCGUAGGCGGCGCGGUAAGUCACUUGUGAAAUCUCUGAGCUUAACUCAGAACGGCCAAGUGAUACUGCUGUGCUAGAGUGCGGAAGAGGCAACCGGAAUUCUUGGUGUAGCGGUGAAAUGCGUAGAUAUCAAGAGGAACACCUGAGGCGAAGGCGGGUUGCUGGGCCGACACUGACGCUGAUGCGCGAAAGCCAGGGGAG
rnacentral:rRNA from 1 species